UUCUGGUAUUUUCUUAACUCAUCUGACGAAAAGCGUUAGCCGCGUACUAGCCUUUCGCUCACUCUUAUGGUUACUUAGCGGUUUUCGACGAUCUACCAUCCGCCUUCUUCGAAACAUCUGUUUCACACGGACGGACCCAGGCUAUCUUGUGCAUCAUACACCCUAGAUAGAACAACAUUGAAGCCAAUAAAAUACUAACUUUUGUCAGGCAAGUUGUGCUCGCACCGCCGACACAAGAAACGAAAGAGCAACCCUUUUACUAGUCGUAAAAUCAUAUUCUUUGUACUGUUACUAAAGUUUUCAAAGUUUUUCCCCAAUGCAUGUAGAUGGUAUUGCUGUAGAGAUGCUGGACUCUUGACAAAAUAGAAACAAAUCAAUUGAAGCAAACAAAAUUGAAAUGUUCAACGGAUAUGUUUAUUUAUAUGCGAAAAAGGGCAGACCGUCUAGUCAGUUCUCAGGAAGUGGUUUUUUUCCUCGAUGCCCACAGGUUUUACCAUGUUAUUAAAAAAACGCAAGUAAAAACAAAACAAAAAAUGGAAACGGACAUUAGCUGACCUAACUCACGCACCCUCCCUUCCUGAUCCGGAUCCAUUGCUAUCUUCCAGAACUCCCUGCCAUGGGCGGUAGUUGGCUCAAUACAGGUCAGUGUUUUCUCUGUUUCCUCCCACCUUAAGCUCAUCAGCAAUUUAUAUUCAUGUUAUAAUUCAUUUAAAAAUAACUUAUGCCUAUUACAUCUAAAUGUAAAUAGGAUCACACAGGUCACCUUGGGCCUCCCACAUAUAAUAGAAAU